GGGCCUCAUGUACUAAGACUUGCGUGGAUUUCAUACUGAAACUUGGCGUACGCCAAAACCCAGAAACUGUCUUACGCACAAAUAAAUUCAGAUGUAUCAAAGUGUGCGAACGCAUGGAUCCAAGCACGUUUCUUUUGUACAUCUCGAUCAACGUGGAAUUGAGCGCACAUGCCGAGGUGCCAAACUCCUCCCUGUCCACGCCCUCAUUUAAAUAUGCAAUUUCAUUUAAAUAGGCCUCUGGACCUGAGAUUCACCUCUUAAUCCGAUCACCUGGCACCAUGAACAGAGGCAAAAAACGAAACUUCACGGAGUCUGAGCUCGAGAUUUUGCUCCACGAGGUAGAAAUGCGCAAGCAUAUGCUAUUGGAACCCUGUCAACAGGGAUAAAUGCAAAACAAAAGAGAAGUGAGUGGGAGUGUGUUUGCGAGGCCGUCAAUGCAGUGGGGUCUCAGCAGCGCACACACUCUGAAAUUAAAAAAAAGUGGUCAGACCUCAAGGUGGAGGUGAAGCGGAGGGUUUCUGCCCACCGCCGAAGCGUGACCGCAACAGGUGGGGGGACGGGAGUGGGGGAACUCUCCCCCUUCGAUUUGAGAGUGGCCGCUUUGAUCGGUGACACAGCUCUCACCGGAGUGGUGGGAGCCCAUGAAGGGGACACCGAUCAUCCCCAAGACAAGCAAGGAGAGGGCACGGAUUGCUCCGUCGGCCCCGGCGUCUCCAGCGCCCUUCGGAUUUUACCAUUUGCGAUGUCCUCUAACAACGCUAACGCAGCCAUUUUUAAAACAAUUUUCUUCAUCCAUUGCGCAUGCUUUUAUAGACACCCAUAUAAUUGCAAGGUGUGUUAAUUGUUCAUUAGUGUGUCUCUGAUGUGCAAAUCACUCUGAGUCAUUGUUUUCACCUUUUUUCCCAGUUUCCCAGCGUCACCUCUAAGUGUCGCCAAAGGAACAA